rnacentral:rRNA from 1 species
GACGAACGCUGGCGGCGUGCCUAAUACAUGCAAGUUGAGCGCUGAAGGUUGGUACUUGUACCAACUGGAUGAGCAGCGAACGGGUGAGUAACGCGUGGGGAAUCUGCCUUUGAGCGGGGGACAACAUUUGGAAACGAAUGCUAAUACCGCAUAAAAACUUUAAACACAAGUUUUAAGUUUGAAAUAUGCAAUUGCAUCACUCAAAGAUGAUCCCGCGUUGUAUUAGCUAGUUGGUGAGGUAAAGGCUCACCAAGGCGAUGAUACAUAGCCGACCUGAGCGGGUGAUCGGCCACAUUGGGACUGAGACACGGCCCAAACUCCUACGGGAGGCAGCAGUAGGGAAUCUUCGGCAAUGGACGAAAGUCUGACCGAGCAACGCCGCGUGAGUGAAGAAGGUUUUCGGAUCGUAAAACUCUGUUGGUAGAGAAGAACGUUGGUGAGAGUGGAAAGCUCAUCAAGUGACGGUAACUACCCAGAAAGGGACGGCUAACUACGUG